rnacentral:lncRNA from 1 species
AUGAUUAAGUUGGGGGGUGUGAUUUAUGUCACAAAUUGACAUAAAAAAUAUCAAUUAAUAUCUAAAUUAUCUAACUUUAUUAAGAAAUUGAUACUUGUUAUUAUAUUUUACAGAAGAAGAGAUCAUCAAUAGAAAGAACAAGGAAAGAGGAUUCCAACGGCGCAAAUUUUAUGCAAAACGGAGUUAAAUUGACCCAGGAAUUGAAGAAUGAAGAAAGAAGAG